GAGAAAUUAGCUCAAUGGUAGAGCAACCACUUUACACGUGGUUGGUUAAGUGUUCAAGUCACUUAUUUCUUA